rnacentral:rRNA from 1 species
AGUGAACGCUGGCGGUAGGCCUAACACAUGCAAGUCGAACGGCAGCACAGUAAGAGCUUGCUCUUACGGGUGGCGAGUGGCGGACGGGUGAGGAAUACAUCGGAAUCUACUUUUUCGUGGGGGAUAACGUAGGGAAACUUACGCUAAUACCGCAUACGACCUACGGGUGAAAGCAGGGGAUCUUCGGACCUUGCGCGAUUGAAUGAGCCGAUGUCGGAUUAGCUAGUUGGCGGGGUAAAGGCCCACCAAGGCGACGAUCCGUAGCUGGUCUGAGAGGAUGAUCAGCCACACUGGCACUGAGACACGGUCCACACUCCGACGGGAGGCAGCAGUGGAGAAUAUUGGACGAUGGGCGCAAGCCUGAUCCAGCCAUACCGCGUGAGUGAAGAAGGCCUUCGGGUUGUAAAGCCCUUUUGUUGGGAAAGAAAAGCAGCAGGUUAAUACCCCGCUGUUCUGACGGUACCCAAAGAAUAAGCACCGGCUAACUUCGUG